GACGAACGCUGGCGGCGUGCUUAACACAUGCAAGUCGAACGGAAAGGCCCUGCUUGCAGGGUACUCGAGUGGCGAACGGGUGGGAAACACGUGGGUGAUCUGCCCUGCACAUCGGGAUAAGCGCGGGAAACUGGGGCUAACACCGGAGAGGAACCAUCUUGAGAGUGGAGGUGGGAACGUCUUUUCGGUGUUGGAGCGGCCCGCGGCCUAUCAGCUUGUAGGUGGGGUAACGGACCACCAAGGCGGCGACGGGUAGCCGGGCGGAGAGGAUGAACAGCCACACUGGGACUGAGCCACGGCCCAGACGCCUACGGGAGGCAGCAGUGGGGAAUCUUGCGCAAUGGGCGAAAGCCUGACGCAGCCAUGCCGCGUGAAUGAUGUAGGUCUUAGGAUUGUAUAAUUCUUUCACCGGGGACGAUAAUGACGGUACCCGGAGAAGAAGCCCCGGCUAACUUCGUG
rnacentral:rRNA from 1 species